rnacentral:rRNA from 1 species
UACGUAGGUGGCGAGCGUUGUCCGGAUUUACUGGGCGUAAAGGGAGCGUAGGCGGACUUUUAAGUGAGAUGUGAAAUACCCAGGCUCAACUUGGGUGCUGCAUUUCAAACUGGAAGUCUAGAGUGCAGGAGAGGAGAAUGGAAUUCCUUGUGUAGCGGUGAAAUGCGUAGAGAUUAGGAAGAACACCAGUGGCGAAGGCGAUUCUCUGGACUGUAACUGACGCUGAGGCUCGAAAGCGUUGGGAGCAAACAGGAUUAGAUA